rnacentral:rRNA from 1 species
UACGGAGGGGGCGAGCGUUGUCCGAAGUUACUGGGCGUAAAGCGCACGUAGGCGGCUUUGCAAGUCAGAGGUGAAAGCCCGGGGCUCAACCCCAGAAUUGCCUUUGAGACUGCAUCGCUAGAAUUGUGGAGAGGUAAGUGGAAUUCCGAGUGUAGAGGUGAAAUUCGUAGAUAUUCGGAAGAACACCAGUGGCGAAGGCGGCUUACUGGUCCGGUUCUGACGCUGAGGCGCGAAAGCGUGGGGAGCAAACAGGG